CGCUCUUCCCCUACAAUCUAUCCCUCCCCCUCCUCCUCAACACAGCUGCAGCUCGACUCUGUCCCGGCUUGCUCCCUGUGGCGGCCGUUGAGACGAGAUCUCCCCAUACCACAUAGCGGCAGCUCGGCUCCGUGCACGCGUAUGGGGAGAUCUCGCCUCAACAGCCGCUCCGUGUGAGCUUUACCUGUACGUAUGACGAUGCUUUUGGUCCUUUCCUGCAUCGCUUGUUGGUUCGGGCGCGCAAGUAGGCGGUGUUGAGAUGAUUCUGUCGCAGUUCACGUGAGUCCUACUAGCCGAGAUCGUCAUCGUGUGUGUUGGUGUUACUUGGUCCCUAGAGAUAUCAGGGCCAUUGUUAUUGUUUGCGUGAAGAUAGGUCCAAAAUUACUCCGUCAUGCUGUGUGUACUGGGGCACGUUUUCCUGUAGUACCUCUUUCCGAUCUGAUGUAAUCACUUUGUACUGUUGUUUCUAGGAGUUAGAGAUCCCUUUGUGUUA